AACCCUAAUAUCUAAUCCCGUCGCUAUAAAUUACUGGGCUCCGCCGCCGUCGUUGAUUCAUGGUGCGAUGGCCGUCAGGUAUGGUUCACCGCUCCGGUGGACUUUUCAUGGUUUCUUUAUUCCUCGUGGCGGUAGGUGUUUAUAGUUUGAGUGUUUUCUCGUCGUGUUAGGGAUUUCGACCUCUCUUCCCGAGAUUUGCUGGCUGAUGAUGAGUGAUCUUUAAGAUCUUAGCGGAUUUCAGUGAGGCUUUCUGGUCUAUGAUCUUUCCACUGUUGUUACACACACUGAAGCCUACUCUAUUUCACAGCAAAAUGAUAGUUUUCUACCCUGUUGGGGUUAAGAUCAUUUUUGGUGCAAUGCUUAAUCUGCUCUUUCUGAUUUAUGGAUUUUUCUAUUUGUUUUAUGGUGCAUUUGGCAUAGGAGGUAUCGGUUGUCGCCAUGAUGAGUUUAGGAGUUGGUGUGGGCAGUGGUGAUAGCAUAUUGUUUGUUAUCCCCGUGAGCCUCUCUCACAUUAAUAUGACUUCCCCUUUCGCUGAGCUCACAAUUUUUUUCCUUCCAUGAAGUGUUGAAUGAUUUUUUUUUUCACACAAAGUCUUUUUUCAAUAACAUUAUUUAUUUUUAUUACACUAUUAUCAAUCUCGACCUUCAAUUUUAUUUAAUUAACCAAUGCAUUGUUGUUUUUGGUUUCAUUCAACAUGUAUGUAAUUAUGUUAACAAUGCAACUAAUUCUUAACAUAUGGUUUGAUGUUAUCUUGUUGACAUUCUUAUUUUUCACUCUAAUGUGUUUUGCUCGGUAGAAACCUUUAUUCCCUAAUUGAGACUUGAGACAUUGAUUUUCACUUGUCAUCCUUGCACUCACGAAAGUAUGUUUCAUUUCAGUUUGAUUAAUAUAAAAAACUAUCUGUUUAGAUAAAUUUAUUAAUUAGGCCUUAGUAUUAUUUUUUGAUUGAACCUAUGCAUGUUUUUUAGGUCACAUUAUGAUCCUAUGAUAACAGUGGCAUAUUUUGAAAUAGUCAUUUGGGUGCUUUUUAAUUGUGGGAGAUGUUGUAUCUUAUAUUAGAUUUUUACUACUAUACGUUUAUUGGACUUAUAAAUGUAAGUUGUUCAUUUAGAUCAGAGAACAUCUAAUAUUAUGUUUGAAGGAAAUCGAAACAUAAAUUUUCUUGUAUGUGCUAAUUUUCAUGAGUAAAAUACAAUUAGAUGAUUGAAAGUUAAACUUUGACUGAGGCUCCUUGCAAAAUCAAUUGUUUGGCUACUUACUUUUUUUGUGCAAGAAUAAUUAUGGGAUGAGCAUUGCAGCACAAAUAGAUUGAUGUUUGUGCUGUCCUUUAUCUCCCAACACUAAAUAUUAUAUCAUUGUUGUUCCAUCUUCUGAUUUAUGUUUGUUGGUUUUGGUUACUAGUUGUUGUUGUUAUUGUACAUUUACAUUAGUUAAGUUAUAGGUGACAGGUAGCCAAUAUGAAAACUAAAUCAUAAACUUGAUAAAUGAUAUGCACCAGUAGCUAAAAGAAGUAUUUAUUAUAACUUGAUUUGGUGCACGAGUACUGACGCUCUGUUUAAUAUUAGUAUCCGGAUGCGUAACCUCUGUGCAAGAAUAGAUUAGGGUAUGCGCUUUGCAGCACAAAUGAACUUGUGUUUAUGCUGCCUGUAUUUACCCAACAAUGUUACAUAUUAAUACAUUCAGAUAUCAAUUUCACAAGUAAUUUUUGGUAACAUGAGCAAGAUAUUUAUAUCUCUUUUUUGGCUUACAUAAUCAUUUACAUAAAAAAAAGAUUUAUACAUUAGAGUGAAUUUUGUUGAUUCUCAUACAUUAUGGCUCUCAAUAUGGUUCACAGUCAAUCUUAUACCAACCCUUUAAUUUGCUUUCUUUCCUGUCUUUCAUUGAUUCUUUCUCUUCCAGAAUUAUUUAUAAACAGUUGAUAAAACACCUUUUGAAUAACUGGAUGCAAGAUAUGCAGAUAUGGGCUUAUAGUUCAGACGGAGGUGCAAAACAACAUGAAUCAUUUUGAGAGAAAGGAACUGUUUUAUCUAAUCAUUCUUUUCUUAGAUUGCUUCAGCUAUUUAUUUAUUUUUUCUUAGAAGGAUGCAAAAUAUGUACACAAAACUGUUUUAUCUAUUCAUUUUGAUUGAAGCAUUUCAGCUAAUUAUGAUAGGUGAUGGGAGUAGUUAUUUAGAUACAGCACUGAUACUUCCUAGCAAGAUCCAUUGUUCUCCACCUUACAUUUCUGUGCAAGACUGAAUCAGAGUAACUCUCCCUUUGCAGCAUAAACUAAUUUCUGCUUAUGCUGCAGAGUUCAAGAUUUCAUAUUUGCUCUCCUUCAAGCUAAGCUUAUGAUUUUUUGGGUUUUCCAAAUUGAGCUCCUUCUGUUAUCAUAAAGCAAAUGCACUCUGUCCGAAAACCUCAACUUGACCCAUGUUUUGUGGCAAUUUCUUCGUUUGCAAGAACCCAAAGUUGGUGUUUCUGACCUAACUCUUCCGUUGGUGAAUGUUGGUGAAUGUCUUGUGGCGGUGGUCUGAAUUUCAUAUUGAUUGAAUCCAUGUUAAGUAUGAGAUGAUAUAAAAUUUCUGCCCCUUGAAUUAAGAUACAUGUUAAGAUUGAUUAAAUGAUUAUUUCCAAAAAUCACUUUUAUUUCUCCCUUUUCCUUGUGUUGUCUGUCAGAUUGUUCUACAGUUGCUAUGAGCUGAAGUGAGCCGUUUUGAGGUUUUUUGGGCA